GGUGAACCCGCUUCGGUGGGGGAUCAGUGGCGAACGGGUGAGUAACACGUGGGCAACCUGCCCCCGGCUCUGGGAUAACUCCAAGAAAUUGGGGCUAAUACCGGAUGGUCACCGCUUCCCGCAUGGGGGGUGGUGGAAAGGGUUUCCGGCUGGGGAUGGGCCCGCGGCCUAUCAGCUUGUUGGUGGGGUAGUGGCCUACCAAGGCGACGACGGGUAGCCGGCCUGAGAGGGUGACCGGCCACACUGGGACUGAGACACGGCCCAGACUCCUACGGGAGGCAGCAGUGGGGAAUAUUGCGCAAUGGGCGGAAGCCUGACGCAGCGACGCCGCGUGGGGGAUGACGGCCUUCGGGUUGUAAACCUCUUUCAGCAGGGACGAAGCGCAAGUGACGGUACCUGCAGAAGAAGCACCGGCCAACUACGUGCCAGCAGCCGCGGUAAUACGUAGGGUGCAAGCGUUGUCCGGAAUUAUUGGGCGUAAAGAGCUCGUAGGCGGUUCGUCGCGUCGGCUGUGAAAACCCGGAGCUCAACUCCGGGCCUGCAGUCGAUACGGGCGGACUGGAGUUCGGCAGGGGAGACUGGAAUUCCUGGUGUAGCGGUGAAAUGCGCAGAUAUCAGGAGGAACACCGGUGGCGAAGGCGGGUCUCUGGGCCGAUACUGACGCUGAGGAGCGAAAGCGUGGGGAGCGAACAGGAUUAGAUACCCUGGUAGUCCACGCCGUAAACGUUGGGCGCUAGGUGUGGGGGCCAUUCCACGGUCUCCGUGCCGCAGCUAACGCAUUAAGCGCCCCGCCUGGGGAGUAC
rnacentral:rRNA from 1 species